UCUCUCACUUUUUGCGUUGAAAGCUGGAAAAUAAAAACCAAAAACAGAAACAGCCGCGUCCCACGAACCCGUCUUCUCCCAACCUCCUCGAUCUUGAUCUCCUCCAUCUCGUGAGUCGUGACGCACCCACGAUCUCCCCUCUCUUCUGCACGAUCUAGCCAUGCGCACAGGGAGGGUGGUCAACGAGUGCAAGCGGAGGUGAGAGGUGCUCGUGGCACAGUACAGGGAGGUGCGGCACAGAUUGCUGCUCGACAGGGAGGUGCGGCACAGAUUGCUGCUCCACAUCCUGCCGCAGGGGAGAUUCCCGAUAGCCACCGCACAGCUCCCCCUCCUCGUCGUGACUGCGUUGGUUCUGAUGUGCCCGACCCACGCGUCCAGAAAGUGUGGAUUUCUCAUAUGUUCUCGUUUGCGGGCACUGGAUCGUUCGCGCUUCAUCGUCGAAUCGUCCUCCCUGCUCUCGUUCAGUCGCAUCUCGCAUGGUCAUUGGGAUAGACGGAUUGACACCUCUGGCCGUGUUGUGAGUGUGUCCGCCUGUGGUGGGAUCCGGCCUUUGUGGGUGGCCAUGUCUGCUUUACGCUGACAUGUCGUCGUGCAGCUCAUGUUGCCAUCCAAAGCUUCCAUCCAUGGUGCUGAUUACACAGGCGAGGACUUGCCCGUCCAUCUGUAGUCUGAGAUGUCGCCCUGCUAUCCUUGUUCCGCCAACGACAAUGUCUCCUCUGGCCGCUUAUCCCGCUCUGCAUCCAAAUCGGGCAACUGCAGUCUGAAGGUAGGCUUCAUCGUGGCUUCCUUUUUCUUCAUGUUUCUGAUUAUACAGUAGUCUGAAUGUCAUGAGAGAUCGUGGGGGUUCAAUGAUUAACUGAAUAGAUGAUGUCACUUUGUUUGAGUUUGGAGAUAUUGGGAGUGCCAACCAUUGGCGACUCACUUUAUAAUCUGUAAUAUAAUGUUUACUUAGUUUCUGGAUAGAUUAAAGUGUAUGUUGUGCCCAUAAAGUGGUUGAGGAAUUGCUCUUGUAUAGAAGCGUAGACUAAAAAUACAAUGGAUAGCCCAAAAAGCUAUAUGAUGACAAUCCAAAUUUCUACAAGAGUACUAAACACCAACUGCAACUAUGAUUGCAAAGAAUACAUCUCAACUUUCUUUCUGCUAAAUCCUGAAUGAUCGUUUUUCAAUAUUUUGGUGCAAUCAUAUCUCAACUACAUGAUGACACACUACUGACUUAUACAUAGGAUCUCGAGCCCGCCAUGGUAGGACAACUUCGACCAUGGAGCGGAGCCAGCGGGCAUGGUCCGGCACGGGCGGCAAGUGAUUUUUUGUUCUUAUUGAUGACUUGUUCCUACACAUACAUCCGGAGAAAGCAGAUGUAUACGAUGUUCACUUUGAGAGGCUGAACUGAACAACGUAAAAACAAGAGGCUGAACUGAAUUAGGUUGAUAUGAAGGGAUUAACAAAGGAUCAACGUGCCACCAUGGUGGUGGUGGUCCGUGAUAUUUUAAGAACAACGGUGAGGUAAUAUCAUGUAGUUGUGCUCAGUACUUUUCGUUUGUCUGUUGAAGGAUUUAUAUGAUUACAACAUUUACUUUAUAGCCACACUUGUUUUUUUCUUCUAGGCGAGCUCAGUUUGCACAGUCCUCCCCAAUGACCAUUUCAGAGGCUGGACAUAAGUAAAUUUCUGGUUGAUGUAUUUUCUACCUGUUCUAGCGACCAUUG
rnacentral:lncRNA from 1 species